AGCCACUUCGUUAGGCUAUCAUUUGUGGCCAGGUCGGUUCUGAAAAAUAGCUCUGGUAAAAUAAAAAAUGGUUUCAUUUAUAGUCUACAUAGGAUUGACUUCCCAGGAAGUAACACUCAUUGUAUAAACCCCAGAAGAAUAUUGUUUUGAGUCACCCAAACCAGAAUGUGAACUGAUAUAUUCGUAUUUUCAAGCGAGGUUCUCGGCCACAGACCACCUGGACAAAUAUGAUGUAGUUUAGUUUGCAUAUGAAUUAUUACUUGGGGUUUGUUGACAUGAUAAAGUUAAUGUUUUCUUUGACAGGUCUAUUGUGUUGUACACUGACAGGGGCUCAGGCUUGUUGGGGCAGCAUCUGGCUGAAAUGCACCUUCACAACAGGAAGAUUGGAGAGAGGCUUCACAAGGAAGAGAAAACUAUCGCUGAAUGAGUGGCAGGAGGACUGGGUGACGUUCUUCUCACGGCAGCGACUGCAGCUUCAGCUGGACAUGAUAGAGAAGGACUACGGUGAACGGGAAACCCGCGAGCUCUGGUCUCGGCUUCAGCUUCGGUUGGGGGAAUUUUUCCGGGACGUAGAGGUGGUUCCGGCACUGCUCCACGGUGACCUAUGGACUGGGAACGCUGCAGAGAUUAAUGAAGGGCCCGUCAUCUUUGACCCAGCCUCCUUCUAUAGGCACUCGGAGUACGAGCUUGCCAUCGCUGGGAUGUUCCAGGAGCUUUAGCUCCACGCUUCACUCAUCCUACCACGCUCUCAUCCCAAAGUCACAAGGCUUCGGCAAGAAGCCAGAAGCUCUAGCAACUCUUCCACUACCUGAACCACUGGAAUCACUUUGGGACAGGAUACCGAGGGUCAUCCAUCUCCACCAUGCGCAGUCUCCUCAAGUGAAUGAACGGUGAUGCAAUUGGUGUGCCAACACCUCCAGAUGCAGUUCCUGAAGGACCUGGGCAUUCGGGACAUGUUCGUUUUGCCUGUGAUGAAUGAGUUUGUCCGAACACACAGGGAAGUCAGCCUGUUCAUCGAGAAUUUCUGAGGAGCCAAAGACCAAGCUGGAAUAUUGCAAGGGAGGGAUACUCUGGGGGGCCCUUUCUUUGCCAGGACUCAAACGGCCGCUGGUUGCUUUCUGGAAUCACCAGCUGGGGUGUUGGCUGUGCACGGGCAUACCAGCCAGGUGUCUAGCGCACAGUCGCCAAGUUCAUGGACUGGAUUCACCAGAACAUGCAGUAGUCUCUUAUACAUUUCUGCACAAGCAGAAUACUAUAGAUCAGGGAUAUAAAUAUUAUGGGAACUAUAACAUCAAAAUAAUUAAUUAAGGCAAUAAAUAUAUUUUUCUAAAACUGAUUUAAAGUUAAUGUUAAAAGGUUAAUUUAAUGAGCUGAAUGCUAUAUUUUAACUGCACCAUAAUGCAAAAAAAAUUCCAAGUGAACACAGAUUUUGGGUCAAAUCAGAAAAGUAUUUUUUUUACAUGCGUUGUCAAUAGCGUUUUUAUCUUUUGGGUUUGCCACACAUGUCAACGGGCCUGGCAAAGCAAACAUGAGCAUGAUGUUGGCAUUGGCAGGAGAUGAAGACAGAGCUUGCUAUUUUUCAAUGUUGCUUAAUUCUUUCAAAACUGACACAAUGGACAAUGAAUGCACUGUCUAAAUAUUUGGCCCAACCUGAUUAUACAUGCUAGCAAAGUGAGUGUUGUCCAAACUACGUAUGAUACAUUUAUAUUCUUGUUAUAUUUUGACCUGGGUCAUCAACUCGCAUCUCCCAUACAUUAAUUGCCAUGGAUGUUGAGCAGUAGGGGUACUCAGAGGGGGUCUAUUGGCCUUCUAGGGGACCACUGCAAUGAUCGGGGCAUCCAGAAGGGAUGAUGAGUUCCACAGGGAGAACGUUCUUCAAGGUUGCCUUUAGAGUGUCCAUGGCAAGGUUAUUGGUGAUUACCUUCACCUCCCCCGGUCAACACAGUCCAUGAGUUUGUGAGUUUUGCUUUACUAACGACAUGAAAACAAGACUGGUUUGCACAAGGAGCCUGCAAAAAUUUUAUUUAGAAAACCUCAUGAAACUGUGAUGCAUGGCACUUAUCUGAGACGCCCCUUAUCUGAGACGCCCCUGUGUAAAUGGCGUGAUAUCAAGACCAUUAUUAUCAUAGUGAACUACAUGACGUGUGUAAGAAAACUAUAUAAACAUCUAUUGGAAACAUUUCAUGAAAAUAUGUACAAAAAUGAACACUUUAAUAGUGUUUCAUGGUAUUCCAAAAAUUUAGACAUAUUGAUUGGUUAAGAUGGUUUACUCGUUGGGAUGAUAAAUGGCAAUGAUCCUUCAUCAUGUAAAAGACUGUAAGCUGCUUUCAAAAAUAUAUAUUUUUUGAAGAUCGUAUUCACACUCUGCAACAGUCUAUUUUCCACAUCAAACCAUAACGUGUCUGUCGACUGCAAUUGAAAAUUGAUGCAUGCUUAGUAGCGAUCGGGUGAAUAAACAUUGCAAUGUGUCACA